rnacentral:ncRNA from 1 species
UCAGGUGUAUUCUAUGGUCUUAUGGCCUAAACUAUAGUGAACCUGUAGUUAUAAACUAUCAAAUUGCGGGAACACCCUAAAGCUAUUAUAACCAAGUAAAUGUAGUAAUAUGUUUAUGGCACAGGUAAUGACUCGUGGUAUGGUAAAAUCAUGAUAGAUAAUUCAAUGGGUAAUCCGCAGCCAAGCACUUAGUAUUAAAAUCAAACCCCCUUAAGGGGGUUCCCCUAUUAGGUGUGCAGUUCAUCGACUAGACGGUAGUUGGUAUUAUUUUUAUUACUAUUAUAAUGCUUAAGGUAUAGUCAAACCCCGCCUGAAAGGGUGCA